rnacentral:lncRNA from 1 species
CCCGAGAACUAUUUCCUGAUUCUGAAGCACCCUUAGGUUGAUCGAAACAAUGAGACACCGAACAAGGAGGAACGGAGUAAUCCUUUGUUGUUACAUGAUUGUCGCCCGAAGAAAAGGCAAAGGUAGAUCUUCUGUGUGAGCUAGCCAGAUCGAGCUCCAUCUGACCCUCCUCCAGAGUGCCAUGGCCCUCCGAAGGAGAACU